rnacentral:lncRNA from 1 species
CUACAUUGAUAAUAAGGUUGUCAUCAUCGUCAUCCAUUUCUUGGUCAACAAAAUCUUCAUUAGCCUGAAUAGCUGUCAUUGCUUCCUGGAUUGGAUCUUUUACCAUAAUCAUUCUAUCGUUUGCACCAGCCACCACAUUGAGAAUGAGGUUAUCAUCAUUUACCAUUUCUUGGUUGACUAGAUUCUUGUCAUUCUGCAAAUGAUCAACUGUACCAUUUGAGCUUUGAACUUUCUUAGAUAAUUUAAAAUCCCUAGGGUUUCCUCAGAAUAGUUCUCCCUCUCAAAAAUUCUGUUCAACACUGAAUUCAUGAUGUUCAGCUCUUUCUCAUCCAUUCCACCAUCCUUUGAGUCAUAAUUACAAAGUGAUUUUUGCUUGUCCAUAUGAGUAGUACCAGAGUGCUCUUCACAAUCACAAAAAUGGAUAGGUAAGGAAGGAACUUCCACUCGCUGAAAACUGUAUUUAUGCUUGCCAGUUCCUCUAAGAGACACUGGUUUAAUCUGCACAAAGAGAUUCCAGAAGCAUGACUCUUGACGUAAUAAAAAACAUAGGUCUUACUAAAAGAGAUUGCAUUCAAAUGUAAACCAUGCAGUCACCUUUCCCGCCAUAAGUCAUCUAAGAAUAAUUGUAUCAAGAGAAGGACGUCAUAACCAAGCACAGGGAAAAAUGCAUUACCUUUCCUAAUUUUGGGAAGUAAAUCCGAAUUUGCGCUUCAUCCAAUUUGGAAUCUUUCUUCUGACUUUUCAGGGAGUCCAUCCUUUCAGCUUCACUAACAGGAAGAUGGGUCGAAGUAGUGGCAAGUGUAGCAUCUUCUUCCCACUCACGUUUCAUAUGAAGAAAAAAGUGUUCCUUUGCCUUCUCUAUUCUAAGCCUCCCACCUUUCCACAUGCAUCCAUUAUACUGCAGAUCAAAAUUGGAUUAGCACCACUAAGCAUCAAGGUGAUACCUUAGGAGUAGAUUUUAAAAGGAAAGACUCCAUUCACUUGCUGCAAAUUGAUUAAGUUAUCCUAAUAACCAGUGUUUUGGACGGCAAAAGGUGACAAGAGUCUGCCUCGUCAUAAGGCGAGGCGAGGUGCUCGCCUCACGGCCUCACCGCUCUCAUUUUGAAAGUGCGGCAUCAAUUAAUACCAAAAGUUAAAAUAUGUAUUUGCAUAUGUAAAUAAUCAAAAUCUCAAAAGCAAUAAAACAUUACCAAAUAUUUCAAUUCAAAAAAUGAAAAUAGAUAGUACUUACUAAAAGUCUAUAACUUGAAUGAGGAAAAAAAAACAUAACAAAAUCAAAACAAAGGUAGAAGUGAUUUUAAAGUCUGAAGAAGGAAAAAGAAAAAGAGGAAGAAGAAAUAUAUAUUGGUUAGACUUUGGAGUCGCCGGAAAAGCCUGGCUAGUUGCCAGAGGAGUCUAGUCGAAAAUCCUAAAAUUACCUUUUAACUUUUAAAAUCCUAAAUUGGUCGCUUCUUUUUUUAAGAAAAUACAAAAGGUGAUGCCUUUCUUGCCUCUUGCCUCUCGCCUUUUGUUAUCAUGGCGUCGCCUUUUGAAGAUCACCACAAAGCUAAAUGGUGAUGAAGGGUCAUCUCGCCUCUCGCCAUUGACGACAAGGUGAUCGCCGUACACAACACUGCUAAUAACGAAGAGACACUUUGAUAUUAUGUGAUACUAAUGGUUACAAGGCCGAACGAUGGCCACCACAGAUAAACAACAUACAGUAAUGUCUUGCAGCACCCAAGGGAAGGGUGCAAAUGUAAUGAACACCUAAUGAGAUACUGCACUCACUGACAAGAGUUGGGCUGUUUGCUUCACAAAAACUCUAAAAUACACUAGCAUUCCUACACUCCAAACCUCUCUAAUAUGCUUAAGGUAUUCUUUCACCUCAACUUCCAUACAUGACUAAAUAAAUUAGGAGCCUUUAUCCAGGUUCUUAACCUCCUUCUCCAACUAAGGUGCCGGCUACCAUUCUUUAUGUUAUUCAUCUUUUAUCCUAGACUAGAAAUGCUACGCUAUUUGCACCAAUUCUUAUAUCUAUGCAAUGAAAACAGACAAUUUAGCAUAGUACGCACGCACAAUUAAAGUGAGAUACGGAAAGCUUUAUAGUUUAUACCGUGCUGAAAAGUUUGGGUAGGGAUUUGUCGGAAGAAGGAAGUAAAUCCAAGUAAGCAAAGCUGCGGCCUUUGGUUCGAACGAUGUCCAUAGAUUCCACUUUUCCGAGUUGUGGUGUUGAGAAUGUCUUCUUCAAAUCCUCAGCCGUCACACUUUCGCCUAAACCACCAACAUAUAUCCUUACACUUUUCUUCGUUGAUUCAUUGCCUCCUUCGCCCGUUACCAUCUCUGCCGGUGCCGCCAUAUCCAACGCAAUCAAGCUCCUUGGUCUGAAACCUAAUGCGCUUUGUUGAGGAAAACCAAGGUGUAAAUUACACUUCUGACACUACUAGAGUAUAUUAAAGAAUGAAACUUUUUUUUUUUAACAAUAGAGCUGUAUUUUGUUUUACUCUAGGGUUAGGGGCAUUUUAGGGUUUUCAUUUAUUUUUAGUAUUAUUAUUCUUGUACAAUAAUGAUUUAUCAGGCUGUACUUUUUUUAAAAGUCAAAAAAAACUUGAGCUAAAUCUGAAUAUUUUUGGCAUUUACAUAUUUUUAUCUGUUGUUGCCUUUUGUAAUUUGUGAAUAAAAAGUUGAACUCUCUUUAAUGCCCUCACGUCUUCAAGAAGAGUCUUUUCUCCAUAAACUAUACUGCUCUUUCUUGCCCAGUUUACAGGUAAGUUUCCCCUCUGCUUUUUCCGUUUUUUUUUUUAAUUAGUUGGUUUUUUCCCUUAUGGAUUUGAAUAUGGCCAAAAGAGAAGUAAUGAUGAUGGUGACUUUUAAUUAGUUGGUUUUUUUUUUCAUUUGUUUGAUUUUACGAGAUGUACAACUUUAAUGUUGUGCUGACCUUUUUCUGCUUGAUUUUUCUUUGCAGUUGUAAUUGCUACUAUUAAGUUUUUCUUUUUGUUUUGGUGAGAUGGAUUAUUGUAUUUCUUGAAAGUUAAAACACCUGAGACUAAAGCAUUAUCUUUUGGCUUUUACCUAGAAAGAAGACAGGAUCUUCUUGAUUGUGAAGAUAUGAGUUCGUUAUGCUACCCUGUUGUAUUACUACCCAAUUAAUUAUUUCCAUUUUUUUGUGUAGAUGUGGAUAAAUCAUACACUGUUGUAUUACUACCCAAUAGUUAGUGAAUUUACCAUUUCAUGUCUUUUACUAUAGUAUGUGGAUCAUGUCAGUAAAGAUUCUCAAGCAAACCACUGCCAAGUUCAUAUAAAUAGUCAAGACAUGCAUAGGUAUCAAGGUUUUGGUUAAUAGUUAUGGUUCUGCAAAGUUGCAGAUGCAAAAUAACCAUUGAAGGAAGGGAUUUGGUGUCUUAAACUUCUAUCAUGAGCAGUAGAGCAAAUAUAUUUUUUUCAGUACCAUAAUCUCUCUCCAAUUUCAUCAGGAGCAUGAAUGUGUUAUAAUUUUUUUUUAGUUUUGGUUUGGUGGAGGGAGAACGGAGCUCGUGGGGGAGUGAAUUAACUAGAGAAGUAGCAAAUAUAGUAUUUGACAUUUUUCUUGGGUAUAAGAUAGUUGCUGUUCGUUGUGCUUUCCGGUUGGCUUGUUGAGCAUGUAGAGAAAAUUGGGACACCAUAUAGCUAUGACCUGCUUCUACCAGGGAAACUCUCAAGGCAUGGAGUUGCAAGGUGGAAAAAGCGUAUUAGUUCCCACGGUAGUGUUCUGAGAUUUAUGGCAUAGUUGUAUAAUUAUUUCUAAAUACUUCGUCCUCUCUGUAAUGAAAAAUGUGAACUGGAGGACUUGGAUUCCGGGUUACAACCUCUUUUAAGUGUGUAGUAUACACUAUCGGUUGUUUCAUAAGCUUUGUAUCUCGCUAUUUUUUAUACACUUCUCUUGCAAUAGUUCUGCUUUAAAAAUAUUUCUUUUGACCUGAAGGUCUAUCGAAGAAACAACCUUUCUACUCCACAAAGGUACAAAGAUAGAGGUAAAGUAAUCCCAUGAUUAGAAAAAUUUGGAGUUGUUUUUGUGCCCAAGUUCAGUGAAUUUCUUUUCUGUGGUGGUUUACCUCGUCUUUAUCUACUCUGGGAUGGAAUAUUUGUUUUAGGUUGUGUUCCAAAUAAUAGAAUUAGACGUAUCUUAGAAACAUAUUUUUGUCAAAUUGAACAUGUGAGAUGAGCCUAACAUUUGUAAAAAGACAGUGGUCAAAGAAAGUUUGAGUAUAUGUGUAAUAAUGUUGCAGAUUUGCAUUAGCAUUUUUGUAAAUUUGAUCCAAAUUCAGGUUUACUUGGCAGUAUUCUUUGGGUUUUACAACUUUGUUAUACUGAUCUUGCGCUAUUGCUGAUAUUAAAACUUCUGGUAGUUUUUUUCUUCUUCUUUUGCUGGCUGCACCAAUUGCGCCUUACUAUAUUCUCUUUAUUUGGUGUCCUUGUGUAGUGCAAUAAAGAGAUUCUUGGUGAGGAUUAGUUUGAAUUUUUCCCCUGUAAUUGUUCUUCUCUCUGUAAAGGAAGGUGCAUGAAGUUUUAUCUUAUUGUUAAAGAAUGAUGGGUUGGCGGUGCCUAAAUGUAGGCAAUUCAUAUCUUUGUUUAUCUUCUUUUAUAGUAAGUGUAAGUCUACAGGUCCUCCGUCCAUGUCUAUUCUAAUGUAUUUAUCUGUUUUAGCCUACGGAAAACUUCUUUUGAUUCACAAUGAUCUUUUAGCCUUCUACAGUAUUUCACUUGCUUACUGGAAUCGUGACAUUUCCUAAUAUUUCUGAUUUCCCUUCAGAAAACAGUGAUAGUGCUGAUGAUAACAUUCAGCUCUCACGUUAUUGAAAAACGACUACUCAUCCCUCUCCUUUCAGUCAAGUGAGCUGAUUUUUUUUAAACAUAACAUUCCAAAAACUUGCAGAAAAAGAAACUCACGUCAACAUGAUUAAAAUCGUGAUCAUGAUUGUAUGUUGUCCCUAUGAAGUUUAUGAAUGUAAUUAUGGUAUGUUAAGUAGACUGGUUCCAUCCAGCUGAAAGCAAUCAUCAGUGUAGAAUUGACAAAAUAUUAUAUAAUGUCUCACUUGGAACAAAUGAUUCAUAACAUGCACAAAGAGUUGGAUUGUUCGAGUGAUUUUUCAUUUUGCCGCUUUUGAUGAUACAAAAUUCUUGUUACAGAAGAUAUACUCAACUACGACUCCCACCACAUACAUCAUUCAGCAAACAACAGAAUCCUUUGAUCUCCUACACACACUAUAUGGUAAGUUAUUCUAAUACAGAACCUCUAAGCUAUUUGAAAAUCAAGCUCGCGUGACUGCUGAAAAGACUGAACAAUUAAAGACAAAAGAAGCUAUCUCAGAAGUGAACAUUAUUAAUCUGCUAUCUUUGUGUUAUGGUUGUUAAAAAAAAGGGUGUUCUUUAUAGUGUUGCUUUUAAUUAUCUAAACACUGUCUACCUUGUUUUAUUUUUUUUAUGGCAAGGGAAACCCGCAGCCUCUACUCUUUGGGUGUGCACAGGGUAAAAACCCCGCUCCUAUGCAAUAGCUCACAAACCCUGUCUACCUUGUACUGAUCAAUACUUUUUAUGCACAAGAUUGUUGCUGCCAAUAUAUAUACCAUGUAUAAUAAAAUAAUGGCAAAGAAGGCUAAGUUAAAGAACACAUUUAUAUAUUAGGCUUAAAAUAGAUUUUUCACAUUGGCCCGGGCAAUGCCCGCCUACCUCCACUAGUAGAGAAUAUAAUUUUUUUUCAGGUACUAAGGAAAAUCUAUUUAAUUACCGCUGUACUAUUUCGGCAAUUGAAAACCCUAAAACCCUCAUUUCAUAUUUUCCAAAUUCUCUCUUCUACUCAAUUGUUAGAUGCACUAUCUACGUUACCCACUUGAUAAUUGAUUCAAUUUUCUCAGUAAAUCAUGUUGGGUAUUCACAAAUUCUAUAGACAAGUUCAUACAUUGUCUCGUGAAUAUGGCCCUAGCGAGACGUUGAAGAGAAAGGUUGCUGAAUUGAAGGUAAAGAGGAAACGAAAAGAUCCUCGAAAGAAUCAGUUAUUUGUUCAGGUUCCUGAUUCAAGAUCGUUCCUUGAUACUGCUACUAUGCCCAUGAUACUCACUGUUGUUGGGACUGCACUUUUCGCAAAGCUCCUCAUGAUGGUAUGAUGCUCCAUUGCAGUUUAUGUAAAGUCCUAUUUAAUAUUUGGAUGAAAUUUGAAUGAUUUUAAAAUUGGACAAACCCCUAAUAAAUAUAUUCAUUUGUUGGUUGUGAUUUUGGUGGAUUGUUAUGGUAAAUAGAAGAGAAGCUUGGGAAAUUGAUACUUGAGAAGGUUUAAAUGAUGCUUCUUAGGUGUAGUGACAUGAUGGUUCAUUAAUAUUCAUAAUCUUAAUAGGAGAACAACUUUAGUGUUGUAAUGUACCAAAGAAAUGGUAUCUCGAUAUAGAACUACUUAUAGACUGUAGAAUAUCGUCGUUUUUCUUGGUUUGAAUUAAUGACACUUAUUUCAAUUUACAUUCAAUAAUGUUAAAGGAACUAAAGUUGAAUCUUGUUGAUAUUCAUUGAGGAGGUUGAUGGAAUUUAGCUGACUUAAUAUACAAACCCCAAAGUCUCCAUCAUAGGUACUUCUUAAAUUUUUUUUUUGGUAAUUAGGAUUUUUUUUUCCACCAAAGUAGGUACUCACAAAGCUAAACAAGUCCUACUCGACUGGUUAUCACAAAAUCUGCAGUCUGCUUACAAACUUAGAGAAUUAAAACCUGGCUCAGGCAGUAGCUCUAAAACAACAAAAACAAGCAAUUCUACAAGCAAUAUCCUCCAUUGUAGUCUCUGUCUUCUCAAAAACUCUAUUUUUCCUCUCCUUCCAAAUGGCAUGAAUAAUAUCUGUGUAUACUAGUUGUAGUAGCUGGGCCUGGUGGCUUUUUCCCUUAGUCUUCUGGAUGAUUCACUGUUGCAUUGCAUUCCAAGAAUUGCUUGGAGGAUGUCUGAUAGUAGUCCAUUGAAGUAAUCUUCUCCAUAAGGAGUUGGCAAAUGCACACUCAAAAAAUAAGUGGUCUCUUGCUCCAUCUUCCUGCUUACACAUAACACAUUUAGGAUCUACUUGCAUUCUCCAUUUCAGCAACCUAUCUGUUGUAAGAAGUCUGUUCUGGAUUUGCAGCCAUAAGAUAAAAAUGGCUUUAGGUCUUGCGAAGUUGCGGCAUAUGAGACCUCUCCAAUCAACCUUUUGGGUAAUCACCUAGCAUUUGAUUUUAGGCUUGCCUUAUCUUGCAAUCAAUACCAUGAUGCAGUACAUGUAGGUGAUACUUUGCUCCAAGAACUUUUCUAACUAUUCAACAAGCUUGAGCGGGAACCCUGAGAGCUUCCAUAUUUUGGCCUUCGAUGUAAUAACUGUGUAUGCAUUUGAUCCAAAGUCUAUCCUGCUUCUUCUCUAUAUCCCAACACAUCUUUAGAACUGCUGCUUUGUUCCAUACCUUUAGAUUCACCAAGUUUAAUCCUCCCGCCACCUUUGGUGUACACAUCUUCUCCUCAGAGACUAGGGCCUUCUUAGUUAUGCUGUUGACUCCAGACCAUUUAAAACUCCUACAGUAGGAUUGGAUUGCUUUCAUCACCUUAGUUGGUAUCAUAAAAUGUUGUGUCCAGUAUGCUUGAAUCCCAAAAAAUCAAUGUCUUAACAAGCUGAACUCUCCCUGCAUAGGAUACUUUUUUAGCUGUCCAGAAAGAUAUUUUUGCUACUAUUUGAUCAAUCAAUGGCUGCCACUGAAUAAGAUUGAGUUUCUUAGUGGACAAAGGUAUACCAAGGUAUCGAAAAGGUAAGGCCCCAUGACUGUAUCCCAGAGUUUGUUGGAUGUGACACAUUACAGUACCAAAUACUCCUCCAAAAUAUAUAGCACUUUUAGACAAGUUAGCUUCCAAUACGGAAGCUACUGUGAACACAGUGAACUUGACGUGGAGUAGUUGAACUGAUAUUUGGUCACCUCUUUUAAACAUGAGGAGGUCAUCUGCAAAGCUUAAAGGUGUAUUCUUAAGCCUACUGCACAUAGGGUGGUAUUUGAAUAUCUUGUGAUUGGAUUAGUCAUUCAAGUUCCUACUUAGAUAUUCCAUGAACAUAGCAAACAAAAAGGGGGAGAUUGGAUCCCUUGUCGUAGUCCUCGAGCUGCCUCAAAAGGUUUUGUUAGUUCCCAAUUGAUCAAGAAAGAGUAGGAGACAGUAGUUACACAUUGCAUCACCCCGCCUAUGAACUUGAGAGGAAACCCCAAUGUUGACAUCAUUUGUUCUAAAUAUUUCCAAUCAAUAAUAUCAUAUGCUUUUUGGAUAUCCACCUUCAUCAUACAUCUGGGUGAGAUAUUCUUCCUGUUAUAGGCCUUGACUAGUUCAUGUGCAAGAAUAAUGUUAUUUGCCACUUUUCUCCUGGGUACAAAUCCAGGUUGUGUUUCUGAGAUCACAGUUUCUAUCACCUGGUGGAUUCUAUUUGCCAACAAUUUUUCUAUGAGUUUGUAUAGGACUGUACAACAUGCUAUGGGCUUAUACUCCUUCAUAUUGGAGGGAUUGGGAACUUUGGGUAACAGUGUAACUGCAGUACUAGUCACUGCUUUGUGUAACUUUCCAGUAGAAAGAACUCCUUAACUGCUCCCCUGUUUAAUCACAGGCAAGGUUUUUUGAAGAACAUAGCAUUGUAGCCAUCAACUCCUGGAGCCUUAUCAUCACCAAUAGAACAUAGUCCAUCAUAAGCUUCCAUCUCAGUAACCUCUACACACAAGGCCAUUUGUUGAGAUUGAUUCAGUGUUGGCCCCUACUUCAAAAUACUCUCACUGACUGCAGUUGCUUACUUGAGCAGUUACCAUUAAAGAAUUGUAAAAUGUUAUAAUCUCAUUUUGAAUUUCAUCCGGAUCCACAAAUCUUUUCUCCAUUUGCUGAAGUAAGUUUGAUAAUCUGUUUCUUGUGGUGUCUUUCUUUCAUUAUUGCUGCAAAAUACUUAGUAUUUGAGUCCCCCAAUUUAAUCCACAUAGAUCUGGAUUUUUUUUUGGAAGCUCUCCUUUAUAUUGCUCCAUUUCUCUAGUUGGAUCAAAAGAUCCUUUUCUUCCAGUGCUAUAGCAUCAGUAUACUGUGAAGAGAGUUUCAGCUGCGUAGAGUUGUAAUGUAUUCCUGAGGUGAUGGAUCUUCUUUGUAAUUUGUAUUGUUCAACUGGGUAAGAUGAGGUUUCAACUCCUUCAACUUUUGCCAAACACAUUUAAAUUUUCUAUCUUGGAACCUACCAGUCCAACUUCUUUACACAAUAAAGAACCUGAAUGGAGCUUUAAUGCUGAGUGUAGUCAUUUUCAUCUCCAGGACCAUAGGUGUGUGAUCUGGAAUGUUUGGCAAUUUGUAGUCCAGCACCAAUUGUCCAUACUAUAGCAUCCAUUCAUCAUUCCCCAUUGUCCUGUCCAGUACUAAAUAUUCUAGCUGAACCAAGUUGUUUGUUUGACCAUGAACAAAAUUCUCCUUUCCACAUCACCUCAUUUAAUAAUAGGUCUUGCACACAUUCAUCUCUUGUUACACUGGGGCACCAUACAAUCUAUCUUGACUUUGUAGAAGAGCGUUGAAGUCUCCCCAUACAAGCCUAGGUUUAUUUUAUCGAGUCGCUACUUUUAAAGUUUAUUCGACAGGUAUGGAUGUGUUGGACUUGAGGUGAACACUAAGAUAUUUUCAAUUCUUUGGUGUAGUAAACUUGCUUGUAUGUUUUACAAUCUAUAAAUCAGCUGAGUAGCUUAUAAAUUACAGUUGUGUUUGCAUGCAGUAUGAUGACUCAAAGUCGCAAGAUAUGAUUGAGCGAAAAAUAAAGAAUGCGCCUGCUGGUCAAGGAACAGUUAGGAUGCUUACCCGCGAGGAAUGGGAAUCAGUUCAGGAAGUGCGACCAAGAACUCCGUUUGAAUCUAAACUAGCUCGUCCAAAUGCAAAGCUUAGGACAGGGGAGCCUUUGAAGAUGGUAAAUGCAUACUUCUUUAACCUUUCAUUUAUCUGGUGAUAGGUAUUUUUCCUGCUAACAUUCUAGAGAACAAACAAAGUGGGUUAGAAAGCUUCCUAUAGUUGUAAGACAUUCAGGCUACUAGUGGAAUGCUUUUUAGCAGAAUAUCAAUAAUGACAAAUGAUGUUGUAGGGUCUAGAGGUUUAUUGGUAUGCUCACAUUGUUUGCCUUUUGGCCUAGAACUAGGCAUGCCAACCUUAGUGCAAAAUUAAGGUGGUGUUAGAUAGCUAGUCAAGUUUCUAUACUAGUGAUAUUCUACUUCUCGAAUGGGUUAGAUGCAAGAUCUUUUGUUUUUCACCUAAAGUAAAAGUGUGUAUUGUAUUAAUUAUCGGAAAGUAGUUAAUACAUAUUUUCUCUCCUCUUAGUUCCUCGCAUGCUAUCAGAAUCUUGUAUGAUCUUAGUAGAAUCUAAAACCCUCAUUCCGAUAGGCAUUACUCUUAUUUACCGUGCCCGUUUCGUAAUAUCAUGGCUAGUGUCAGUGAUUGUUGUGAUGGCAUCGGGACUAAUCUUGGUGAUCGUUAUGUAGCAUCGAGCGUGUUUCUGGAUACCUUUUCAGUGACACCUCACAUUUUUUCCGUGGCUUUUUUGGUGGAGCUGCACAUCUUUCCAGCAACACCACACGCCUUUUUGGUGACCAUUCCUGCAGUUACCUGCUUUUUUUUCUUCAGGAGUUAUUCUAGCAACACGAGUGUUUGUCCACUAUUCCUGCAACUACAAUGACGAUCUCCUGGCAGUCAAAACUAAUCUUUUCCCAUGACUUUUUGGGCGAUGUAAAACAAAUUUAAUCCAUUUCUCUUCUUUCCAUUAACUGCAAACCUAUCAUCUAAGUUAUUAUUUCAAGAAAAUGAAAUCUUAUGAGAUCUAGCACUUUUUGGUAUAAGCUGGUCCAUGCCCCUUUAAUAUCAGAGAUGCCUACACUAGUUGGAGCUCUAUGGAAGUUAGAAAAUCUAUCAGGAAAAUCUGGAUCAUGAUUCAUGACCUAGCUUAUAUUUUUUGGGUUAUUUGGAAUGAAAGAAACAGGAGAUAUUUGGUGGAGUUUUAAUUCCAAUUUGUAAGCUUAAGGCUAGUCCUUUGGUUAGCUUUUUUAGUUGGGCCAAUAUUUCCCCUGUAAAUAACUUAGAUUAUUACCUGGAUUUUGUCAGCUCCUUAGCCUCUGUAAGGGGUCGUUUAGUGGGAAGGAUAAUAUCAAAUAGUCCUGGGAUUAAAUUAUAGUAUCACUUAAUUUGUUGUUUGGUUGACAAGUCCGAAAUAACUUAUUCCGGGAUUAAAAUUAGUACCCGGAUUAGUUAUCCCUCCCUUUGGGUGGUAUAGUAAUAUCGGGAUAAAAUAAGUAAAUGACAAAAAUGUCUCUUUCAACCCUUUUGUUACAUCAUUUUUUACAUUUAUGAAGGAUAUUUUUGUAAACAAAUAAAUUAUUCUUAAAAUUUAUUUAUUUUGAAUGCAAUAAACCAAACACUCAAUAAAUAAUAAUCCCAUCAUAACUUGAAUUCAAACAAAACGACCCUUAAGUUCUUUGUCUUACUGAGCUGACAGAUCCCCCACUUUUUGUAUCCUUACUUCUACUAGAUGCCUUAAUGAAAUCUCACUUCAUAAAAAAUAAAAAAAUAAAAUGAAAUCUUGUGAUUCAUUGGAGUGUAAUCCACUCAUUGGAGUCAAGAGAAGGUAGAGUUUGCGCAGACCUUACCCCUACCUAAGAGGUAGUGUGGUUGCUUCCAAUAGACCCUUGGCUCAAGGAACAAUCGUCCAAAGCAGUCCAAAAAAAGUAAUGGAAGUACAAAUAGUAACAGAAUCAAAGGACAAGAAACUAUAGGAGCAAUACUAUGACUACUAACUAGUAUGGACGGAUAUUUAGACGACACACUCUAUUAUAAGAUUCUUGUUUCACUUUAUGUUUUAAUCCCAUAGUCGCCCCUAUAUUCCUGUUAGUUGUAUACCUUCCAUUUAUCAUUUGCACUACCUUUCAGGAUCCUAUCAGUACUUCUCCUCCAUCUCCUUCUGCAAACAGCUUACUCUUGACUAGUCAUAGUCGUUACCGACGCAACAUUUUCAAUGGUUCAUGCCUGCACCAAAUCCUUCUUUUAUCGUGGUAUCUGCUCCCUCCCGAUAUUUCCUAGUGGCUUCUCAAUUUUACUCCAACCCAUCUAGACCUUAUCCGUGUUUGUCGUAACCCCAAUAUUCCUCUGUUGCCCUAUUAUCUCUUUCUACCAGUGAAUUUAGAGGUGAAGCCCUUUGUCACUGUUAUUGUGAAUAUGGACUUACACUGAUAUUUAUGACAAGGUCAAAAUCUGAAACCACGUUAGUGCUUUUGUAAGGUCUCUUGCUAAUUGUAAUAGAGCUAUCAUAAGGUCUUUGCAUAGAUAAAUCCAAGGGACCCAGAUAAAAUUUUAACUAAAUCCUCAAGUCCUCGUGUAGUUUAUAGUUGGUAAGAGGAGAGGUAGAGUUAGGCCGAAGAUGUAUUGGGGACAAGUGAUUAGACAGAACAUGACAUGACUUCAGGUUACCAAAGACAUGACCUUAGAUAGGAGGGUGUAGAGGCAGUGGUGUACAGAAGAAUUUUUCUAAGUGUCACCAUUUAAUGGACAAGAAUGGCUCAAGAGGGAAAUCAAUGAAGCUUUUGCUUUAGACCUCCAAAAAUUUAAGGCCCCAUAAAUAGUGAACUUUAUGAAAUAACAUUUUAGUGAAAAUUAGUGAUAAUUGAAAUUAACGGAAACGAUAAUUGAUAAAAAUUAUCAUAUUUCCAUAAAGAAGGAUUGAUUAUCAACAAAUUUGUGUCAAAAAUGGUUAAACAUGUGUAAAAAAUGUACUUUGUGCUAUUCAACGAAUAAGAAGCCUAAAAAUAAUUACUUUGACAAAUAUUAUUUCAAAAUUGCGUAAUUUUCAACAAUCAUCCACACUUAGUAUCAUGCAUUUAACAUGAAAUCGAGCACAGUCAAGUUUGAACUUAUUCAAAAUUGAACUUCUUGGUAUUUGACAUCCCAUUUCCUUUGAAAGAGGAAAAAACAAAAAUUGAACUUCUUGGUAUUUGACAUCCCAUUUCCUUUGAAAGAGGAAAAAACAAAAAUUGUAGUUCUUGGUAUUUGCAUCCCAUUAUUUGGGUGCCAAGGGCAUGUCAUAGUGUCAACGAAGUGGUUGAGAACCAUGAGGUCUCAAGUUUAAAAUCCUAGUAGAGGCAAAAAUAACACUAGGUGGUUUCUUCACAUUUGUCCAACCCUUGGUGGAUAGAGUUACCUGUUACUUGUGUUGGUGGGAGGAAGUAAGUACCUCGUGCAAUUAUUGAGGUGUGACCAAAUUGAUCCGGACACUACGGUUAUCAAAAAAAGAAAUUGCCUUUUUUGUGGAUUUUGUGUUCUUGUUCUCAUGGACUGACAUGAGGAAACUUUGUCCUGAGUUUUCUUUCUAAAUUGAACUUGCCUCAUUCGAUGCCCUAAAGUUUCUUCCUUUUCCUUCUUUCCAGUUAAGAACGUCAAUAUUAUGAAAUACUAAAUAUUGCAAGAAUAGGUACCUUGUAAUAUGGGAAAGAUUUGGAGUCCCUGUAAUUGUGUAAUUAGGAACAAGAAAUAGUUUCUUUCCUUUUUCUGUAUUACUUGUAAAUGCUUAUUUAAAUCUCAACAUGCUUGAGAAAUCAAGAAAUUCAUUCUUCUUUCUUUUAAUGAUGUCGGAGCCGAGGGUUUGGGUCCCCGGACUGUUAAACAGUUAUUCCCUAUUUUAAUCCCAAAAAGAAUGUGAGGAAGAAAGGAAGUUGCAAAUCUGGUUCACUGACAGGAGUGUACUGACAAGUUUCAAGUCUCACGUCCCUCUUAGAAAGGCUUCCCAGUCUCCAGCAACCCCAACCCCAAAACCCUGGCACCGGAAGUCAUGAUUUGUGUCUUACGUGGCAUCCAUCAUCUUCGGCAGAGUUUCAUCACAGGCUCAUGGGUCUUUCUCCCACAACAUUCCUACCGCGAUCUCUCUAUCAAGGUCAAUCAAGUCCCCUGCUUCAUCUUCUAUUUCACUUCCUAUCAGGUUCGAUUUUCUUUCCGGAACCAGUUUGUUGUUGUUGACCUGACCUUGAGUGUUUUCUCCCAUAUGAUGAAUUGCUUCUUUCCUUUCUACUUUUUAUCCUCGAUGUUUAGAUCUUCCUUUUAGUUUUUCAUAUUCACAAUUUCCUAAUAUUGACACGUUUAAUGUCUCCAACCCUCGCAUAAUAUGUGAUUGGAAUGGUUCAAGAUCAGCUCUUCUCAAAUUUAGGCCAAAAGCGUAAAAAUGAUGAAUAUCUAUGUUGGAAGUAGUCGAUCGUCUAAAGGCAACCAGCUAUAUGACGGCCAACGGGGAACUGUUAGCUAAUAUUUUUAACGGGAAAGUUCCAAUGCCUGGUGAAAUAUUACAAAUUAGUUUGAAAGAAAUUGUCUAUCCAAAUAACGGAAGAAGCCUGUAGAAAAUGGGACUAUGGGAGUACGACGUAGUCUUCGAACUUUCUCUACUUGAGUUUUGGUUUCAGGAUUCUGUUGGGUUAGGAGCAGUGCAAUUCUUUUCGUAUGUUUUAUUUGGAAAGUUGUUCCUGAGAUCAUGCAAGAUCAUCGUGUCUUAAACGUCUUAGUUAUCUUAUAAAGUGGUACCAUUUAUGCUUUCUUGUUCUGAUACCUUAACUAUUUCCCUCAAUAAUCUUCCUGGUUCAGCUGCAUGACAACAAUGGAAUGACCAUGCUGUUUCAUUUGAUUGCUUAUAUGCAGGAAGAUGUCAAGGAUUGGACAAUAGAUGUUAUAACUGACGCACUAACACGAGCUGAAGAAUGUGCUAAACGAGGAUCAAACUAAGCUUUUAAGUCGAUAAUAGUGGUAACCUAGUUUAACAAUUGCUUCUUAUGUGUACCAGAAAGGCUCUUCAACCUCAGCUGCAAAUUACAACAUACCAUCUUCUACUAUCAAAAGUGGAGAAAUGCUGUUUUUCUCACUAUCCAGCAAUGUCAAAAUUUAUGCUUAGCAGUAUUUACUGUGAAUUAAAGUGUGUAUAUAUACUUUAAUUCACAAAGAUAAUAUUUUCAUUGAAAUUAGAGGCUGUAUGGACUGAAUUUUUCAAUAAAAGAAGAGAAUUUUUAUGGUAAACUUUCUUCUUGUUUAAUCGAUAUCUCGAUUUGUGCUUCAGCACGUGAGUCUUUAAUUUGUACGCAUUUUAGACUUCUAAAUUAAUAAGUAGUAACAAAGAAUAGGUAAUUAAAGAUUACUAUGUCACAAGCAAAGUAUAUGGAUUUAAUUUUUCUUUUGUUAGUUUGGAUUUGCAUGUUUGUGUUGAUGUUCAAUGAGAUCUCAUUUGUGACUGUAAAGUGAUUCGUUUAACUCAAAUCCUUCUAAUAGAGUGUAAAGGGUGUAUUGCUUUCUUGAUUUUGCUUCUGAUGGGGAUGUAGGGUACUGUUACUGGUUAAUUAGCAAUCUGUGUCUGUCUUACAGUGAGUCUUCAGUUUACAAAUGGAGUAAUGUUUACCAGAUGUAGAAAUUGAGGCUUCUGUGGCUUUGUCUGCAAGAGUUAGAUUUUUUGAUUCAGUACUCUUCAAUCAGUAGGACUGACUUGCUCUCUCUCCAGAUCUUUGCAGGAUGAUAAAGAACUCAUUUUUGAAUUGUUUUUAUAUCUUUUUGUGGUUAGGAAUGGGGAUUUGAUCAUCUCGUGUUCGUGGUUGUAUGAACAAGAUUGAUGUUAAAGGUUGCGCUUUUGGGUUUUGAAUUGGGUUCUAUUGUAUUUGACUAUGUUAUUUUACAGUCUUACAUAUGCAGAUUCCAGUAAAAUAUCGAAAAUCAACACAUGUGAGUGUUUCCAUUUGGGACUUCCUUUUGGACAUGAAAUUGUACCUCUUCUCCCCAAUCAACCUGUCUGUAAGCGGUUUUGGCUUGUUACUACAAAAAUGCUUGAAAGAGAAGUUGCUGCAACCGUGCCAGCAAAUUCAUGCAUUAAUGUUAACAUCACACACUGACAUGAAUGCUUUGUCAUUGAAUUCAAAGCUCAUCGGUGCCUAUGCAAGUUGCGGGGAUCUAGGUUCUGCUGAGCUUGUGUUCCAAAGAACAACAAACCUGAAUAUUUUUGCAUUUAAUUGGAUGAUUUCAGCUGAGAAAUCCAUUGGGUACUUCUCUCUUCUUCAUCAAUCAAGAACUAUUCCGAACACGUACACAUUUGCUGUAGUGUUAAAAGUAUGUGUUGGUCUAAUGGAUCUGAACAAAGGAAAGGAAGUGCAGAGUAUGAUAUAUAGAAUGGGAUUUGAGUCAGAGCUAUCGGUUGCCAAUGUCUUGAUUAAUAUGUAUGGCAAAUGUGGCAGUACGGAAUAUGCUCGUUUAGUUUUUAAUCUAAUGGUCGAGAGAGAUAUUGUAUCCUGGACAUCAAUGAUAUAUUCAUAUGCUAACGUAGGGAAAAUUGAAGAAUCCUUUAUUUUGUUUGAAAAAAAUGAGGUUAGAAGACCUAAAGCCUAAUGAUUUUACAUGGAAUGUAAUGAUCGCUGGAUAUGCUAGGAGAGGAGACUGUGACACAGCUUUUAUGUUACUCUCAAAAAUGAGUGAAGAGGGGUUGACUCCAGAUUUGGUUACCUGGAAUGCAAUGGUCUCAGGGUAUGUUCAGAGCCGCAGAUCAACUGAAGCUGUAGCAUUAUUGCAGGAAAUGUUGGAUGCUGGAGUGAAGCCUAAUGAAAUCACGCUCACUGGGCUUCUGCCAGUCUGUGGGUUGAUUGACUCUGCAUAUACAGGGAAAGAAAUCCAUGGCUUAGCAUAUAGAUUAGAGCUUUUUGCUAACGUCUUUGUUGCUAGUGCUCUCAUUGACAUGUACAGUCGAUGUGGGAGUGUAGAAGAUGCUUGGAAUGUUUUCAGUUCUAUUCCUUUCAAGAAUGUUGCAUCAUGAAAUGCUAUGAUAAGUUGUUAUGGGAAGCAUGGCAGAAUAGAACAUGCAAUCAAACUUUUUGAGAAGAUGCAGUAUGAAGGAGUGCUGCCAAAUGAAGUAACCUUAACUUGUCUUCUUUCUGCAUGUAGUCAUGGUGGUUUAGUUGAGAAGGGUUUGAAGAUCUUUUGGUCCAUGGAGGAGUCUUAUGGCAUUAGAGCAAGGAAAGAGCAUUAUGCUUGUGUUAUUGAUCUUUUGUGUCGUGUCGGGAGGCUUACAAUAUAGUCAAAGAUAUGGCAAUAGAAGUUACAGAUUCAAUUGUUGGUGCUUUCUUCAGUGGCUGUAAGGUCUAUGCAAGGAGAGAUCUUGCUGAAAAGAUGGCUAAGGAUAUAUUACAGAUGGACCUGAAGAAGCCUGAAGGUCUUGUAGCCCUUUCAAACAUUUAUGCUGCUGAGGGAGAGUGGGACAAUGUUGAGAAUGUGAGGAACAUGAUGAAGGACAAGGGAUUCAAUAAGAUGCCUGGUUCCAGUUGGUUGUAGAGGAGCAUGAUACACAGAAAUAGAUAUAGGAUUGUGACGCAACAUUUGCUUUUAAACUAUUAGAUAAUGGUAAGAACGUAUAAGAUAUACUUGCGUUGCUUUUUGCAAUAGUGUUGAAAAAUGAUUCAUCAAGGUUUCACUUCCUUUUCAAAAGAACCUAUGUUUCAGGAAUGAGGAAACAUGAUAUAAAUAUACUUCCGCCCUUAACCAUAUGAUCUGAGUUCAAUGCUUUGUGCCUUUACACUUCAUAAGUUGGAAAUGUUGUUCAUCUUGAUGGCAGCUUCAGCUACAUUAAGUGCAAAUCUGUGAAUUCUUCAUCCAUGCCCCUUUGUUUUUAAAAAACAAGUAGAUUCUUACUUGAAUUUCUUCCUUAUUUUGUGCUCCUUGGCUCAAAAAAGAAGUAUACUGUCACUUUGAAGUGGCCUUUUAGUUUGGUCACUUUUAAGUUAUGAUAUUACGCUAUGAAGUCCAAUUUUGGGGAUUGAGGUUUAGUUUGAUCGAUUGACUCUGUUGUCCAUAACUCAAUUAGUAUUUUACUGGUUGUUAGGUUUGGUUGUAUUCUUUGUUCAAUUUUUUCUCUCUCUUUCUUUUCUUGGAUGCAAUCUUGUCCCCGGAACUAGCUGUACAUUGUAUUGUAGAAGUAGCUUAUACUGUUGAAGUGUGAUCAUCUCAUCUAUAAGCUAAAAGUUACGUGGUUAGAGAAGGCAUACUUUUAAUUAUUUAAUUAUUUAAUUAUAUCAUAUCUCAAUACGCCCCCUUACAUGUGAUUCUUUUUAUUGGGCUAAAUACCUGAAAAUUCCUUACACUGUGCGACUAUCUCACUGUUAGACUGAGCACAUUUUUAAUUAUUUGAUCGUAUUAUAUCUCAAUAAAUUCACUGAGCAGUUGAUUUCAGUUUGCGUUACUAGUUUCCUUUUUUUGGAUCUACUCGAAUAGACUUUCUAAGAAAAGCUUCGUUUUUUUUAAAAAAUAAUGUCAAGACAAUUGAGGAUCCAAAAUAAGCUAACUUUUCAGGUAAUAUAUUUAAUAUUACAAAAUCAAAAACUAAUUUAGCAUAUUUUUUAUUUAAAAUCAUAAAAUUCAAGAAAAAACAAUUUUAGGGUCUGUUUGGAAAGUCAUCCGAUAAUUGAAAUUGAUGUAAUUAUUAUGAUAGUAAUUACCAAUCUAGUAAUUACACUAACCUGUUUGAUUGCCACAGUAUAAUUACCUUUGUCAUGUUUGAUUGGAUUAAUAUAAUUACACAACUAAGUUUUAAAAGAGUUUAACUACUAUCCACCGACGGUGGACAAAAAAUUACACGGGCAUAUUAUUUUUGGAAAUAUUUAAUUUUUUUAAUUAAUAUAUUUUAAUAUUAUUAAUAUUAAAAUAAAAAUAAUAACAGAGUGUUAUAUGGUAACUUGAAUUAUAAAUUAAUUGUACAAAUUUAAUUAGGAUUCUUAUUUGUCUUACCAAAAAUAAAAAAUACAUAAUUUCUUGUGUUUUCUUAUUGGAAAGCACUUCAAUCCUUCAAAGAAAAUCAUUGCCAACAUAUUAUUUUUUUUAUAAGAACCGGUACUUGUUGCCAUUGAAGCAAUGCUAGCAAAAUAUUAAUAUGAAACUAUUCCAGAAACAUAAAGUGCAACAAAAUCAACAUACAAACUUAUAAGAGUAAGCAAACAAAAUCAAACACUAUUAAAUACGGCCCAUGAUUUAAUCACAAUUGCAUGCUUGGUUACAAAUUUUAUUCUUUCGGUGAAAAUUUUUUGUUGCUAUACGUUGUUAUUGCUGCUGCUAUGUAUCAGAGAGUGGAGUAUCCUUGCUAACAUAUAUGAAGGCAUAAAAGAGUAACUAAUUCACUAUGAAUAAAAACACAAUCAACAAAAAAAACUAAAGCUAAAACUCUGAGUUAUUGUAUGUAAACUUAAAAGAAAAAAAAGUCUUGAACAAAAAAUAUCCCUGGAUUUAUAUUCUGCCAAAGAAAGAAAACAGAACAAAAUGAAUUUUGAAUAAUUGUCUCUCUAGACAUCCUUUAUAGUUUUAAAUUCCACAAACUCCAAGUCACCUUGUAGAUUAGAAACCUCUUUGAUAUGGAUACGAAGUUGCUCUCAUCAAAUCCUGAAACAGUAAUUGUUUACAAAUGCAUAUAUGCUAUAAAUAAAAUACAUACAAGCGCAGUAAAAUAAACCCACCAUAAAUGAGGUUGGAUAUGAAUCAGCACGACUACUUUGCCCUUCAAAAGGUUCUGAAUAUGCUGAGAAUUCCUUUAAAAAUGAUUAAAUAAAAGAAAAAUUUGUUAGCUAAAAAGAGAAUGAUACAUAAGAAUAAGUCUUAGUCAAAAUUCACAUAAUUUAUCAAAAUAAAACCUUACCAUUGUAGGAUCUGCAUUAAUGAUUGUUUCCCUGCUAUUGAAUUCCUUUUCAACAUUAAUGUGUGAACUGAAAAUUAAGCAAAUAAUUGAAAUAUGUGAUUUAUUCAAUGAAUUCACAUUAAAUUAAAGAUCAAACUAUAAAAUUACCUUACUCCUUUGCCUUUUUUUCUGAUUUUGGUUUCUCUUUUUGAUUUCAGCGAAGAGCUUCUUUUAACCUUCUGAGAACUUUCUAAACCACUUUUCAUUCUCAAAGAACGAGGACGUCCUUUAGUAGCCACGCAUGGAGGGUCAAGCAAACUAAAUUUUUCUCUUUGUUCACUUGAGUUCAAAUCAUUAUUUGACUCGUUAACUUGAUCAUCACAAACAUUAUCAUUAUCCUCAUAUGGAAGUUCAUCAAGUUCUUUACUUAGUUGCAACAAUUUCUGAUAUGUAAAUUUAUAAUGUUUUUCUGAACGAGUAGCUCGUUCAGAGAGCCCAAGAGAAUGUGUCAUAAUGUUAUUAAACCAUAUAGUAGAAGACUUCAGAUUAUACGCAAGCGAUCCUGCACUUGAAAUGUCAUUAGCUUUUUCUGUAGUUGCAUACCUUGUCCAUCGAUCCAAUAAAUAACAUGGUGGAAGCGAGUGAAUCUGUUUCUUUAUAAAUAUCAUAAGCACAUGUCUACACAAAAUUCCCAUGAACUCAAACUUAUGACAAGAACAAGUAGCAUUCUUUAAUUCAAGAUUCAACCUAACAAUAUAUGUCGGUGUUUCUCUCUGAAACAAAUGCACUUUAUAAAUAUGUAUCCCAUCCUGAACCUCAAUUUUUUCUGAAAUAAAUUUUUGAGAUUGAAUUAACUCUUCUUGAAAUUUUUGAAAUAUUUUUCUGGUAUAUAUUUUGGCUGCUUCAUCCUCCGUUGGAUAUAAUGUUUUCAAGAUAGCCUUUGAAUGCUUUGUCUUAUAAUCCUUCUCCCUUACUUUGUCAUACCUAGCGUCAACAACUUUAUCAUAUUGCGUCACAAAUACACUCAUUGGCGUACUAGAGUUAAGAUAAUCUUUAAAGUAUUUAUUCAUACUUUCACUUCUUUGAGUUGUUGACAUUCCAGCACAAAAAGUAGUUCGCACAUAUGCUGGAAUCCAUUUCUCGCGAAUGGUGUAUAUCUUACGCAACCAAAUAUGCUCUUCUAAAUUGUACAUUUUCAUUAUAUCGAUCCAAGCAAUUUCAAAUUCCUCAGGAGUUGUUGUACAAUGUAAACACUUACUAAACUUAUUUUUAAAAUCAUCAAAUGCAUGAAAAACAUGACUUAGAUAUUCAGGAAUCUUCUUCUCAAUGUGCCACAUACAAAAAUGGUGUGCACUAUUCGGGAACACCUUUGCAACUGCAUUUGUUAUUGCAGCAUCUUGAUCUGUGAUUAUUGUACGAGGGGAAAUACCAAACAUUGCCUCUUGCCAAGUAUGAAGUAACCACUGAAAAGUUUCUUCCGUUUCAUCCCAAAGAAGAGAACAUCCAAAUAAAAUGGAUUGGUGAUGGUUAUUAACUCCGGUAAAUGGAACAAAAGACAUCUUAUAUUUAUUUGUCAAGUAUGUAGGAUCAAAUAGGACAACAUCUCCAAAAUUCUUGUAAGCUAUCCUAGACCUAGCAUCUACCCAAAAACAAUUAGCUAAAUGACCCUCCACAUCCAUUUGUAUUGCAUAAAAGAAUCCUGGGCUAUCAGAUUGUCGCUUUUGAAAGUAUUUCAACAUCAAUUGUGCAUCUCCUUUCUCAAGACAAUUUUACCUUUUAGUGCUCAAAUAAUUCUGAAUAUCUCGUCCAGUUAUAUUGAGAUUCUCUAUGCCUCCCGCCUGAGUAGUUAACACUGAUGCGAUUUUACUUGGACGAAUACCAGAAUUAUUUAAGAGAUCAAUAAGAUUUUUUUGAGCCUCUGAUUUUUUUCUUUUUGAUCGCAAGAAUUUCUGACUAUUAGGAGAAGCAAGUUCAUGAUUAUGAUUCAAGGCAAGCCUAGCUAUAACCCACUUUUCUUCUUCUUUCUUUGACAUAUAUAUCAUCACUUUGCACCCCUCUCUAGUCUCAUCUCGUUGCUUAUUACUCUCAAGACAUUUUUUUGAACGAAAUCCUUCUUUUGAACAAACAAACUCUUGACCAAUAAUGGAUUUAUCUUUUCUUGAUCUACUAAUUCGAUUUUUUGCCCACACUAAAACCAUUACGAUGAGCAUAAUCAAGAUAAAAUUUAAAUCCAGUAUCAAGUGAUUGAAAUUCCAUACCGAUGUAAGGCUCUCUUAAUUCUUGCUCACCUAGUUGAGGAACAAAAGAUACAACUGCAUUCAUGUUGCUUUCUAUAUCCUCCAAGGAAUCUUCAAUUCCUUCUGCAUUUUGCUCUUCUAAAUUAGAGAUUUCAAAAGUUUCCUGCAAUACACAAUUAUUAGAUAUUAGACUGAUAGGGUAAGUUAGCUUUAAAAUUUUAAAUAUUUUUCAUGGCUAAUGUAUUGAACUUCUUCAAUUUGCUAAAAAGUUCUUAAACGUAUUCUUUAAAUAUCUUCAUCACUACAAAACAUAAAUUUCCUCAUACAUUAAAACAAGAAUAUUUCUUUGAAACGUUUAUUCAUGUUGCGAAAAAGACUUAAUAAGUUAUGUAAAAAAAGAUAUACGAGGAAAACGCUACCAUGAUAAUUGUUUCAAAUUGCUUCAAUGGUGGAUAGUUGGUUGCUUCAAUGGUUUAUGUAGAAAAAGAAGAACGUUAAUACAACUAAGAAAACACAAGAAAUUAUGUAUUUUUUAUUUUUGGUAAGACAAAUAAGAAUCCUAAUUAAAUUUGUACAAUUACUUUAUAAUUCAAGUUACCAUAUAACACUAUGUUAUUAUUUUUAUUUUAAUAUUAAUAAUAUUAAAAUAUAUUAAUUAAAAAAAUUAAAUAUUUCCAAAAAUAAAAUGUCCGUGUAAUUUUUUUGUCCACCAUCGGUGGAUAGCAGUUAAACUCGUUUUAAAAUAAAUCAAAUUUUGAAUAAAUAAUAUUACAGCUUCAUUAAUUAAUGUAUACAAAGUUUUCUUCUAGCCACAAUGACAAACAAAAUAAUGAAACUCAUCAUGCCAAAAUAUUAUUGAACUUAUCAUGCCAGCUUUGUAACUUCAUAUUUUAUGUGCAUCAUUUUCCAUAUAUAGCUGCAAGCGAUGUUUUUAGAGAAUAAGAUAAAUGAGCCACAAAAGUUUAAAGAAAGCACGUGAGAUAUCCAUAAAAAUCAAUUUUUUUUACAUAAAUCUCAAGGUACCUCAAGUGAGUUAGAAAUUGUAUCGCACUACGCCAAGAAUUUGAGGUUUGCAUCUAGAAAAUGUAACAAGUAACUUCUGAACAAGCUAAGUCUUAGUUUUACAAGUAAAUGUAAAACAUUUGUUACAACUUUGCAAGUAAGCCUGCCACCUUACAACACAGGGCUAAAAACAGAAGGAUGUCCAUGUAUAAUCUUCAAAUGGAGAAAUACAGAUUCAAGAAUGGCACAACUGAUUACGAAAUGAGAAUUAUGCACCUAAAUGAAAAGGGAAUUGGAUCGUCUAUGUAACUUGAAGCCGUCAUAUCUUACAUGAAGCUAUUCUGAAGUAUCCACUACUUCUUCUCAUUAGUCUUCUUCUUGAAUGACCCACUUCGUGCUGCUUUUGUUUUCGUCCACUCCUUCAUUAAAGCAGCACUCUUCAUGAAAGAACAAGUUUCGUUGUAGUUAGUAUCUCCUACAAGUGCUUGUUUUGAUGCAGAUACAUGUUCCUUUUCGGGGGUUGGAGCACUGGCUUCAUUCUUCUUUGUUUCUUUCUGCUGAUAGUUGUUCAACACUGGAAGCUCUUUACUGAAAUGAACAUUAUUCUGCUUCUCAACAGAAACAUCUUGCGAAACACUUUUAUCCAUGCUGUAGAUUUUUGUGCUUUUCCGGUCUCUCCUAUCACUGGCAACUCUGGUUUUGGAAGACAUAGACCAGGCAAAAUUUGCGAAAUGCUGAAAGAACUUCUGGUGGCAUCACGAACCAAUUCUGUCCAUGAAGAUUUUUGUCGCCAUGCAGCACCUCUGACAUAAAUAUCUACAGGGCUAUUGUCAGUGGCAAUUUUAUCCAGCUCCUCGUGCUGAUCUGAUACUUUCUCUUCAUAUUCAACUUUAUCCAGCUCUUCGUGCUGAUCUGAUGCUUUCUCGUCAUUUGAUAAUUCAUCUUCAGAUUCAACUUUAUCCAGCUCUUCAUGCUGAUCAAAUACUUUCUCAUCGUUUGAUACUUCAUCUUCAGAUUCAACUUUAUCCAGCUCUUCAUGCUGAUCUGAUACUUCCUCAUCGUUUGAUACUUCAUCUUCAGAUUCAACUUUAUCCAGCUCUUCAUGCUGAUCUGAUACUUCCUCAUCGUUUGAUACUUCAUCUUCAGAUUCAACUUUAUCCGGCUCUUCAAGGUGAUCUGAUACUUUCUCAUCGUUUGUUACUUCAUCUUUUUCGUCGGAGGAGAACUCACUAACACCAUCAGAACCAGACUGCAUCUCUUUAACGGGAAUAGCACUCGGCAAAAUAUCCAAUACACUGAAUGAAGCACCACUAUUAGCACUAACAAGAUCUUUCCAUGGAGACUUCUUUGGCAAUUUGGCACUUCUAUUUAAUAGUUGGCUAUCUCGUGUGACUUCCAAACUCUGCUUUGCUUCAGCUUUAGACAACAACGUAUGUGCCUCACCAUCUUUAACCUCUGAAGGUGCUUUACGCUUUCUGUUUGAGGGCAUCGUCUUUCCUUGCUUUUGUUUAUCCGUAGCAAGUCGUGAUUCCUUGGAUAGCGAAUUCUGUUCACACGACACCCAUAAAAAGGAAAAAGUAAACUAAGAUGCUUAUACCAUGAGCAGGGAAAAUAAAAAAUAGAACAUAACAGAAUAUGAACCUGAAUAGCUGCAACUGCUUCCAGGGUUGGAUCUUUGAACAUAGUGUUUCUAUCCUGCCACUACAUUGAUAAUAAGGUUGUCAUCAUCGUUAUCCAUUUCUUGGUCAACAAAAUCUUCAUUAGCCUGAAUAGCUGUCAUUGCUUCCUGGAUUGGAUCUUUUACCAUAAUCAUUCUAUCGUUUGCACCAGCCACCAUAUUGAGAAUGAGGUUAUCAUCAUCUACCAUUUCUUGGUUGACUAGAUUCUUGUCAUUCUGCAAAUGAUCAACUGUACCAUUUGAGCUUUGAACUUUCUUAGAUAAUUUAAAAUCCCUAGGGGUUUCCUCAGAAUAGUUCUCCCUCUCAAAAAUUCUGUUC